UCACUUACCUGGACGGGGUCUAUGAGCGAUCAAUAAGGCUCAUGGCCUAGAAUAGUGACCUUCAUUGCACUUGGAAGGGGCGCUAGUCUAUGGUCGACUCAUGUAGUCGAGCCAACGUCAUAAUUUGUGUCAGAGGGGGCCUGCGUACGCGCGGCCCCUAC
rfam:Genlisea aurea contig_20214, whole genome shotgun sequence.